rnacentral:lncRNA from 1 species
GGGGAGGAGGAGGAGGAGGGGGACGACUUGGGGAGAGGAGGAGGAGUGGGAAAGGGGGAGGAGAAGGAGAGAGAUGUCUACUCUGUCGUGUCACCAUGGGGAUGGCGAUGUAGUACACAUAGACUGGUGAGGUAGUACACAUGGAAUCAGCAUGACUAAUGGAAUCAGGAUGUUGACUUUGUAACAAAGUGAAAGAGACGCUAUAGCAACGCUGUAACGACGCUAUAGCAACGCUGUAACGACGCUAUAGCAGCGCUGUAACAACGCUAUAGCAACGCUGUAACGACGCUAUAGCAACGCUGUAAUGACGCUAUAGCAACGCUGUAACGACGCUAUAGCAACGCUGUAAUAAUGCUGAAGCAGAGCUAUAGCAAUGUCCACGCUACAUACUGAGAACACAAAUACAUCUGCUGAGAAAACACCUUCAUGUGCUGACUGACUGUCUGUCUGUUUGACUGUCUGACUGACUGUCUGUCUGUUUGACUGUCUGACUGACUGUCUGUCUGUCUGGAUGUCUGUCUGUUUGACUGUCUGUCUGGAUGUCUGUCUGGAUGUCUGUCUGACUGCUGGGAUGUCAGAGAGAGACAGGUUGGAUCAGGCAGGGUGCUGGGAUGUCAGAGAGACAGGUUGGACCAGGCAGGGGGCUGGGAAGUCAGAGAGAGACAGGUUGAACCAGGCAGGGUGCUGGGAUGUCAGAGAGACAGGUUGGACCAGCCGUGACAUGAUCGUAGCCUAGCCUCAUCUCCUAUGAGAUCUCCAGUCAUAAAGGAAGCAGCCUUCCCAGAGCACCACUACCUACCUACAGCCCUACCAGAGCAGUACUACCUACC